rnacentral:rRNA from 1 species
GAUCCUGGCUCAGGAUGAACGCUAGCUACAGGCUUAACACAUGCAAGUCGAGGGGCAGCAUGGUCUUAGCUUGCUAAGGCCGAUGGCGACCGGCGCACGGGUGAGUAACACGUAUCCAACCUGCCGUCUACUCUUGGACAGCCUUCUGAAAAGGGAAGAUUUAAAUACAAGAUGGCAUCGUGAGUCCGCAUGUUCACAUGAUUAAAGGUAUUCCGGUAGACGAUGGGGAUGCCG